rnacentral:rRNA from 1 species
CAGUCGCCGCGGUAAUACGAAGGGUGCAAGCGUUAAUCGGAAUUACUGGGCGUAAAGCGUGCGUAGGCGGUGAGUUAAGUCUGCUGUGAAAUCCCCGGGCUCAACCUGGGAAUGGCAGUGGAUACUGGCUCGCUAGAGUGUGUCAGAGGAUGGUGGAAUUCCCGGUGUAGCGGUGAAAUGCGUAGAGAUCGGGAGGAACAUCAGUGGCGAAGGCGGCCAUCUGGGACAACACUGACGCUGAGGCACGAAAGCGUGGGGGGCAAACAGGAUUAGAUACCCCCGUAGUCCCUGUCUCUUAUAC